GACACCGUAGCAAAGUGGUUACUGCGACAGAUUCGAAUCUUGGAUGUAUUCUCUGGCUAUCUGUUCCUCUUUGAGGGCGUAGGUUCGAAUCCUGCCGGUGUCG